AAAAAAUAUUUCCUCACUGAGAAAUAUAUUUAAUAUGUUUUUAUGCAUUUUCAGAUUCCUAUUGUUCCAGUUGUUUUUUCACCAUACACUAAUUUCUACAAUAUUAAUAAAAAAAUAUUUGACAGAGCACUUUUUAUUUGAAAAAGUAAGCCUUAAAAUGGAUUAGGGAUAUCAUAGGCAUCCAUGUUUACAUCAGCUCUUAGCAAAUUGGAGAUUACAUCUUGCUGCUGCAAAAGACUAAAUAAGUACAUUUUAUUGUUGAACAAUAACAGUUACUGUUUUGCCAUGGAUCAACACAGAACAUCUUACUUCUAGUGAUGUGCCAUCACUCACUGAGGAAGUGAGAUCUCUUAUGACGUCCUGCUUCAAGAAAUUCAUAGAAGAUUUCUAAAUCCAUUAUGUGUAUUGGUAAUCACUAUCAUCAGUAAUCAUCUUACUAAGACAUCCCACCUCAGAAGAUUAAAGCCAUCUGGAUAUGUCUGUAAUUAAUUAUCUUAGAGAGAGUUUACUACAUUUUAGCAGAAAAUUUAGUCGAUUAUUGUUGAAAGGGCACAUGUCCACUUUUGCAACUUUUACACCAAGCAGUAAAAACCUUAUAACAUUUUCCAAAAUAAAGUUACAUAUUUCGAUCCCCAAGUAACAAGAAAUAGUCAAAACAACAUUAUAGGCAAUUUUUCACAUUGUUAACUCUUAUUUUAAAAUUUCUAAGGAAUUUUUAAUCUUGUGGACCUGUAACCAUUCGACAAUAAAGAGGGAAAAAGGGAUAAUAUAUAUGAAUUUAUAUUAUCCCUUUUCCCUCUUUAUUUCCCUCUUUAUUGUUAUAUAUAUAUUUUCUUUGAAUAACUUACUUUAUUUCAACAAAAAUGGCAUUUUGAAGCAAUCGAAAUCUGAAACUUGUCACAAAAUAAAACAGCUUAUACAUUUUUCAUCUCAUUAAAAAUGACAUUCAUUCACCCAGAAAUGUAUUAUUUUUGUCGAAAAUCUUUAAUACUGAACAUAACAUUGAAACAAUAUUUAAAAUCCUAAUAUAGUCAACCACAUUAAACUUAAGAGUUGUCUUUGCUCUCAAAAGGUGCAGUUUUAGAGUGGCCAUAUGGUGGUGUAAAAUCCUUAUAUGCUUCUGGCAUAUACUGAAUAACUUUCUUGAUAUUGUCUGUUUUCUUUACGUUAAUGACAUUCAUCCCAGAAUUGGUUAGUGCAGAGGGAUAAACUAUUUCUACCUCCGGUAUCUUCAGGUUUUUUUUUUUUAAUCAAUCCAUUUAACGAGUUAUAGACAAAUAAAAAAACCCUCCUUCAUUUUGAAAUAGUAAUAAUCGGAUAACACCGAAAGUUCUAUCAGAGGGCAGGAAGCUAUGUCCCAUUACAGGAAAAUAUUGCUUGACAGUCAAAUUUUUUCUGGUCACAGAAAAAGCUAAGAGGAACCUUAAAAUGGUAUGAUUUCAGUUUUGACCUGUGCAACCAUCUGAAAAUAUGUUAAUUUCUUUUGCUGAUGCCGGAAUAUGUUGUCUUAUAUAAACAUAUAAAAAUGAAGGAACCUAAGCAAAUAAUUUCUUUUGCUGAUGCCGGAAUAUGUUGUCUUAUAUAAACAUAUAAAAAUGAAGAAACCUAAGCAAAAGUAUGAUGCAAUGUUUACAAAGACUGCCCGGUAAGAGAGAACGAUAGGUUUCAACAACAAUGAGAGAUUUCAUGUGCGACACUCGCACUACGCCCCGCACUGUGUUAAGCGGAGAAAAAGCUCACAGGCUGGACAUAGUCCCUUUCAACAAUAAAUAAUCAUCUUCGGACUGCUUGCCAGUACACACAGAGUUGAAUUAGAGAUGUGCCACUUCAACUGUAAGUGUGUAUAUUUGUAGAAUGAAAAAACUUUAAAACCUCAAAAUCGACCAAAUAUGGACAUGUGCGCUUUCUACAAUAUUCAGUUCAAUUGUUGUUAAAGAACUCGAGAGCUCCAUACAAGAAAGGCAGUUUUAAAUGUUUAAUUAACAGUAUUACAACUGUGUUAUUUGAUGUGGUAUUAAAAUACACGAAUGGCAAAUUGGAUGCAUUUUUUUCAUGCAUACACAUAUAUAUAUCAUGAGAAAUAUAUGUAUUUGAUCUGUAAGCUGCAUCAGUAUGUGCUGUAACUGUUAUUCGUAUGCAUUGUAUAUUUAAUGCUUUUAUAAUAAUAAAAGAUGUGAUCUAGGUCUAAAUAAUAUAUCAUAUUUAAGUAUUUCACAUAUCUUAAAAGGUUCUAAUUUUUUGCCAAGUGAGUUCACUGUCUGCGUUUGCUGCAUUAGAGAUUAGCUUUUUUUAAGCAAUUUUAUUUAAAGUUGUGUACCAUUUUUGAUAUUGUGCUAGUUUAUAAAAAGAGCUUGACUACAAGGUGCAUAUUUAUAUUAAUUUUUCUUCAAGUUAAAAUUUAGUUAUUUACUUUUUCAAUAAAUAAAUUCAUAAUGUGUUUUGUAGAGCAUUUAUCUUGAAGAUUUAUUAUACACUUGUAAUCUAAAAAAUUAUUAAAAACAUGCAGAUCAGAAUUUGUAUUAAGAUUUUUAUUUACUUAGACUCUUAAAUAUGAAACUAAGCUAUGAAAGAUAGUUUUGAGGUAAUCAUAUUCUGAUAAUUUUUUUAAAAUUUUUUCCUUAUUAAUAGAUUUAAACAAGCCACUUUGAAAGUUACAUAUCAAAAUACAGUAAAUAUGUAAUACAGUUGACCCUUGUUUUAUGACAGUUUAUGCUGAUUUAGGCAUACAGUUGUUUAGUAAUUAAGCUAAAAUAAGGGAAAAUAUAUUAAAACUACUUGUAAAAAACUGUAGACAUAAACUGGAACCAUUUUAAGAGGUACACUAAGAUUUGUGUUAUUAAAAUAACUGGUGAGGCUGCAGACUGAUGCAGAUGUGAAAUAUAAUUGGAUUCAUACUUAUUUUAAUUUGACAUUUGUAUUGUUCUUGUUUGCGAAAAACAUUUCAAAUAUGAGCAGGUUGUAAUAAGAAAAGAAAUUUUGAUGGAAGAAUGUUAAAUUAAUCAACAUGUAAAUUAUUCGCAUUUUAUUUUCUAAAAUUCAGAUUGGAUUGUUUCUAUGCUGUCAUAGAAAUGGAGGGAAAAAAAUGUUUACAUAUAAUGUGUAGUUUCACUUGAUAUCUUGUAAAAAAAUAGGUCUUUUUAUUUCCAUAUCCUUUUAUUUCAUUUCAAAUGUGAUUCAGUGAAUUGUAAAUAUUUUAUAAAAAUCUUUGUUUUUUAGUAAAAUCACACAAAUAUUUUCUAUAAACCUAGUAUAUCGAAAUAGAGAUGUAUUCGUUUUUUGAAAUGUUUCUUGGUUUGAUCUUCUAAUUGAAAUUAUGUGGAGGGACCACAAGACUGUGUUAGCAACUCCACUAGUGAUUAAUACAAAGUAUAAUGAAAAAUAUCGUAGAUAUUUUUCUUUAGAAAUAAGAUUUAAUGGAUGUAUUUAUCUACAGAAAUGAUAAUGAAUGUGAAUGGAUUUUUUUCACCAGUACUAGUCUGGAAGGUUUUUCUGUUUCUGUUAUAUACAUGUUUCAUAAAAACUUACCCCAGAACCAUAUGUAGAAAUGCCAUAGUAUAUUAUAGUGCUAUGUGUGACUUUGUUUUAAUAAUUGUACAUUUGUAUAUGUAUGAAUAUGUGACUUCAUUAUUUUUUGAUGAAUAAAAAGCUUUUGGAGCAA
rnacentral:lncRNA from 1 species